rnacentral:tRNA from 1 species
UGGAGAUAUAGCUCAGUUGGUAGAGUGCUUGCCUUGCAAGCAUAAGGCCCUGAGUUUGAUCCCCAGCACUAA